AUGUCAAAUGCCACCUCCACCUCCUCCUCUGGACCAUCCACAGGCUGUUGGGACUCACCUACAGUGAACUCUCAGAUCAUCAAGAAUGUGAAAGAUGCAUGGGAGGGGAAACGUAUGCGUGUACUUGAAUCGAGGAUUGGGCCCUUAAAAAUAUUUUAUAAGGACAUUUUCUCCACUGCACCAAAGAGACCAGUAACAGAUGAGGUAAUAAACGCAUGUCUGACCCUCCUGGUCAAAGAAUUUAAUAAGGAUGGUCCAGAGAAGGCGUUUCCACUGGACUCGGGGAGGAUGAAGACUAUAUGGCAACACAAAAGUCCAACAAAAACUCAGAUCGACCUGGAGGUCUUCAAGUACAUCGUGGGGGUCAAUGAAGGUCAUCACUGGAUGCUCGUGGUGAUUAAACCAGGAGAGAGGAGAACCCUGUUCAUGGAUCCACUGGGGGAACAUGGAGAAGAUGCAGCACUGCAAGAACGUGACGAGUUUGCUGAGUGCAUUUUGGACGGUUCUCCGCUGGAGUUUCAUGAAUCACCUUCCAGCUUUAAUGCGAUUCGACGGGAGAUUGCAGUCUGUCUUCUGGAGAAUACAGGUGUCUCUUAAAAAUAUUAUACAUAUGUUGCGUGUGGCCAUGACAUCACUCACUUACUCAGACAUUCAUUCAAUCACUGUGCUGUGCCUGAACUGGCACUGGUGUCCUUUUAUGUUGAGGUCUCCAAUUUGAGCCACUGAUUCAUUAAUUUAAUUGUUUGGAGGCCGUAACAACAUAUCAUUUUAGACUGGAAACGUGUUUGCUGUACAUAUUUUCAAAACUGUCCAAAUGCUCAAAUUAACUAUGAUAGUGUUAACUCACACAAACCUUGCUCAUUAUGAGGUAAUUAUUAUCUCCUUGUUUUUGUAGAUGACUUGACUGACCUUUGUCAUCUCUGCAGGAUGGCGACACUCACUGAGUAACUGCUGAUGUUUUACAUGUUCAGCUUAAAGGAUGAUCACCACAAGGCAACAUUGCAUCACUAUCUCACCAUAAUAUUUUAGUUUUGUCUUUUGUCCAUUCAGAUUGGCUGCUGUGCCCUCGAUGGUUUCACAGGAGCUGUGCCAAGAGACCAGACCCAGAGGAUGCAAACAUUUUUCUGCCUCGCAUGCCAGUAAUAAAAUGUAUUAUUAAAAUGUUUUAAUAUUAUUUUGUUCUGAGGCUGUUUUUGUUGCAAUAUUUGAUUUUCCCGG
rnacentral:lncRNA from 1 species